CCUACGGGAUGCAGCAGUGGGGAAUAUUGGACAAUGGGGGCAACCCUGAUCCAGCCAUGCCGCGUGUGUGAAGAAGGCCCUCGGGUUGUAAAGCACUUUCAGUGAGGAAGAACGCCUGGUGGUUAAUACCCAUCAGGAAAGACAUCACUCACAGAAGAAGCACCGGCUAACUCCGUGCCAGCAGCCGCGGUAAUACGGAGGGUGCGAGCGUUAAUCGGAAUUACUGGGCGUAAAGCGCGCGUAGGUGGCUUGAUAAGCCGGUUGUGAAAGCCCCGGGCUCAACCUGGGAACGGCAUCCGGAACUGUCAAGCUAGAGUGCAGGAGAGGAAGGUAGAAUUCCCGGUGUAGCGGUGAAAUGCGUAGAGAUCGGGAGGAAUACCAGUGGCGAAGGCGGCCUUCUGGACUGACACUGACACUGAGGUGCGAAAGCGUGGGUAGCAAACAGGAUUAGAUACCCUGGUAGUC
rnacentral:rRNA from 1 species